rnacentral:rRNA from 1 species
UACGAAGGGGGCUAGCGUUGUUCGGAAUUACUGGGCGUAAAGCGUAUGCAGGCGGAUCGUUAAGUCGGGGGCGAAAUCCCGAGGCUCAACCUCGGAACUGCCUUCGAUACUGGCGACCUUCGAGUCCGGGAGAGGUGAGUGGAACUCCGAGUGUAGAGGUGAAAUUCGUAGAUAUUCGGAAGAACACCAGUGGCGAAGGCAGCCAUCUGGACCGACACUGACGCUGAGGCGCGAAAGCGUGGGGAGCAAACAGG